AUGGGCUCCAGCACAGCUGGUUAUGAGGAAGCACAGAUACCUGCACAUGGCUGUACAUCAUCCCCUCUGGCUGCAGAAUGUAUCCCAGACUUGAUGUCCCUGACUAAUUGCAGGUCUCUUCAUGGUUUUAUAAAGUCCAGCUUUGAAUGCUAGGAUUGAGAGCCAGACACCUCUCACCCAUGGUUAUUUCCCAGACAGCUUAGGUAGUUAAUUCACACAGCAGCUAAUCAAAUCCUCUGAGUGGUUUCCCUGCCAAACCCAGGCUGUGCACCAGGACAGCCACAGUCUGGCUCAGCUGAGCAGCAAAAGCAGGGGCACACAGCCGGAAGGUGGCUUGUGGAUGAUCUAGCUGGAGCAGAAGAACAUAGCAUGGCCCUGGUUUCCCAGCUUUCCUGCCAGAGGUGAACCACAACAGACCUUGGUGUCCACUCUUCCCAGUGCCAGCCCAUGGAGCAGCUGUGUCCAACUACCUGAAAGGAGGUUGUAGUGAGGUGGGUGUUGGUCUCUUCUCCCAAGAAGUGAUAGGACGAGAGGAAAUGUCCUCAAAUUGUGCCGGGGGAGGUUCAGACUGGGUAUUAGAAAAGAAUUCUUCACUGGAAGAGUUCUCAGGCACUGGCAGAGACCGCCCAGGAAGUGGUUGAGUCACCUUUCCUGGAGGUAUUCAAAAGGCUGGUAGAUGAAAUCCAGAUAUGAUUUAGUGGUGGACAGUUACGGCUGGACUCAAUGAUCUCAAACAUCUUUUCCAGCCUAGCAAUUCUAUGAUGCUGUAGCAGGGGGGCUGGAGAGAAGAGCUUCACGCAUCUUUCCCCAUCUGGGGGCUGAGCUGUCUGCACCAGCAUCAGUUUGGGACACCUCUACGAGUGUUUCAGUAUUUGGCAGGUGACCACAGAUUUCACCGCAGGAUGCCUUUAGGCAAGUCAAUAAAUCUCUUCUGGAUUUGGGCUGUGCUGUUGACCUCGGUGUUGUAAGUGCCUGUGGUGAACAAUUUAUUGGCCCCAGCGCAGAUGUGGUGUGGGGUGACUUGCUCUGCUGGUUACGAUUGGGCUCUUAAGUGUUCAUUGAACUUCAGACAGGUAGGGCUUUCCUCCAGCUUGGCGCUGUAUCCUGGGACACCAGCAGCAGUUGUCCUUGUUGCUGCUGCUGUGGAGGAGAUGGGACUAAAGGAGAGUGCAGGGCAGUUGCGGCUGCCGAUCAGCAAGGAGUAAAUGGUCCUGUUUGAAGACAGCAAACGUCUAGCAAUGCUGAAUAUUUUCUGGGAUGUGGUCACAGCGCUGAAACAGCCCGAUUUCAAGAGAAAUUGUGAUAGCUUUUUUAUAACAGCAGCAAUAACUGAAAAGCCCCAAACGAUGCAGCCUAUCUCCUGCACAACCAGAGCAUACAAGAGAGGAGAGGCCUUGAGGAGCAAUUGAGACCCUGAAUAAGGCAGAUGCCUGCAGAACGGAAGGGAGGAGGAUCAGGAACACCAUUCCACGGGCGCUGCAUGAAUGCUGCUGAAAUAAAGCACUGCCUGGUCCUGUUUGGAGCCUGAGCUUGUGGCAGCUCAUUAGCUAGCAGAUGAGAAGUGCAGCAGUCAGAAACCUGUCUGAAAUGCAGCCCCCCGCGAACCUUUUCUACAAACAGUUUGCACAGAAGCCUUUAGAAAAAGACACACGGUAAUCCAUAGUUUAAUAUCUCUUAAAUCCCCUGAGCCUGCUGACAUCAUCAGCUCAGUGCCGUGCCUCCAGAAAAGGCAUAAAGAACUUGGAAGUGGGCAGGCAUGGAAGGACCAUCCCAGGAGGGUUUCUUCCACCUCUUCGCUAGCCCAUGCCCUGAAGCAAGGGAGUUAUAAAACUCAUUUAGGGCGUCAUCUUGCAACCUCUAGCAACGUGGUGGUUCUCAUCAGUUUGGCUAAGGACUUUUGCAUGGAUAAAAGCAGUAGAAUACCCGUCAAUUUAACGUUGAAUACACCUGCCCUUGAUUCUUCUGCCUGUUAAGGUUUCAAAAUCGAUCCAGCCUUGAUUUCCACCAAACCAUCAGACCAAGAUCUGAUGCCAGCUCUCCUCCAUCUCUUCUUAUCAAAGACAGAAAUGGAGCACCAUGGUCUCCUAAUAGUUUCCAUUAUUUGUUAUUAAAUAUUACUUUUAUCUUUGCGGGCUGUGCCCUUGGGUGAAGGAGAUAUUUUUGCUGCUCAAGAGCCGUGCAGCGGAAUGACGUUUGGCUGAGACGGAGUGAAUUUUCUUCACAGUAGCUGGUAUGAGGCUGUGUUUUGGAUUUGUGCGGAAUACAGUGUUGAUAACAAGAGAUGUUUCAGUUACUGCUGGGCAGAGCUUAUACAGAGCCAAGGCCUUUUCUGCUCCUCAACCCACCCCACCAGCAAGCAGGCUGGGGGUGCACAAGGAAUUGGGAGGUGACACAGCUGGGACAGCUGACCCCAAUGACCCACGGGAUGUCCCACACCGUACACUAUCAUGCUUAGCAUAUAAAGCUGGGAUAAGUAAAAGAAACGUUCAGAGUGAAGGGGUUUGUCUUCCCCAGUAACAAUUAUGCGUGAUAAGCCCUGCUUUCCUGGGGGUGGCUGAACACCUGCCCGCUGAUGGGAAGGAGCAAAGGAAUUCCUUGGUUUGCUUUGCUUGUGCUCAUGGCUUUUGCUUUACCGAUUAAACUGUCUUUAUCUCAACCCACGAGUAUCCUCACUUUUACUCCUCCAAUCUUCUCCUCCAUCACACCGGGGGUGGGGUGAGCAAGUGGCUGGGUGGGGUUUGGUUUCCAGCAGGGAUUAAGCCAUAACAGUUUCAAUUAUGAUACAGAUAAUUCUGAAAUAUCCUGGCAUUUGGAAUAUUUGCGAAGAAAUAAG